GACGAACGCUGGCGGCGUGCUUAACACAUGCAAGUCGAACGGAAAGGCCCUGCUUUUGUGGGGUGCUCGAGUGGCGAACGGGUGAGUAACACGUGAGUAACCUGCCCUUGACUUUGGGAUAACUUCAGGAAACUGGGGCUAAUACCGGAUAGGAGCUCCUGCUGCAUGGUGGGGGUUGGAAAGUUUCGGCGGUUGGGGAUGGACUCGCGGCUUAUCAGCUUGUUGGUGGGGUAGUGGCUUACCAAGGCUUUGACGGGUAGCCGGCCUGAGAGGGUGACCGGCCACAUUGGGACUGAGAUACGGCCCAGACUCCUACGGGAGGCAGCAGUGGGGAAUAUUGCACAAUGGGCGGAAGCCUGAUGCAGCAACGCCGCGUGCGGGACGACGGCCUUCGGGUUGUAAACCGCUUUCGCCUGUGACGAAGCGUGAGUGACGGUAAUGGGUAAAGAAGCACCGGCUAACUACGU
rnacentral:rRNA from 1 species